rnacentral:rRNA from 1 species
UACGUAGGGGGCAAGCGUUGUCCGGAAUCACUGGGCGUAAAGCGCGCGCAGGCGGCUGUCUACGUCCGGGGUGAAAGCCCAGAGCUCAACUCUGGGAUUGCCUUGGAUACGGGAUAGCUUGAGGAUCGGAGAGGCAAGGGGAAUUCCACGUGUAGCGGUGAAAUGCGUAGAGAUGUGGAGGAACACCUGUGGCGAAGGCGCCUUGCUGGCCGAUUUCUGACGCUGAGGCGCGAAAGCGUGGGGAGCAAACAGG